UACAGAGGGGGCAAGCGUUAUUCGGAAUUAUUGGGCGUAAAGGGCGCGUAGGCGGCUUGGCAAGUGGAUGGUGAAAUCCCUCGGCUUAACCGAGGAACUGCCAUCCAGACUGCUUUGCUUGAGGCCGGGAGAGGUAAGUGGAAUUCCCAGUGUAGCGGUGAAAUGCGUAGAUAUCAGGAGGAACACCUGCGGUGUAGACGGCUUACUGGACCAUAACUGACGCUGAGGCACGAAAGCGUGGGUAGCAAACAGG
rnacentral:rRNA from 1 species